GGUUGAUCCUGCCAGUAGUUAUAUGCUUGUCUCAAAGAUUAAGCCAUGCAUGUCUAAGUACACACGAAUUAAAAGUGAAACCGCAAAAGGCUCAUUAUAUCAGUUAUGGUUCAUUAGAUCGUUAACAGUUACUUGGAUAACUGUGGUAAUUCUAGAGCUAAUACAUGCAAUAUAAACACGGACCUUUUGGAACGUGUGCUUUUAUUAGGCUAAAACCAAGCGAUUUUUUCGGAAAUCGUUAAUAUGGUUGAACUCUAGAUAAUUUGCCGAUCGUAUGGUCUUGUACCGACGA
rnacentral:rRNA from 1 species